rnacentral:tRNA from 1 species
GGGGUUAUGGCGCAGUUGGUAGCGCGUUUGACUGGCAGUCAAAAGGUCACGAGUUCGAAUCUCGUUAGCUCCACCA